rnacentral:rRNA from 1 species
UACGGGGGGGGCAAGCGUUGUUCGGAAUUACUGGGCGUAAAGGGCUCGUAGGCGGCCAACUAAGUCGGAUGUGAAAUCCCCAGGCUUAACCUGGGAACUGCAUCCGAUACUGGAUGGCUUGAAUCCGGGAGAGGGAUGCAGAAUUUCAGGUGUAGCGGUGAAAUGCGUAGAUAUCUGGAGGAAUACCGGUGGCGAAGGCGGCAUCCUGGACCGGCAUUGACGCUGAGUGAGCGAAAGCCAGGGGAGCAAACGGG